rnacentral:rRNA from 1 species
UGGGGAAUAUUGCACAAUGGGCGCAAGCCUGAUGCAGCCAUGCCGCGUGUAUGAAGAAGGCCUUCGGGUUGUAAAGUACUUUCAGCGAGGAGGAAGGCGUUGUGGUUAAUAACCGCAGCGAUUGACGUUACUCGCAGAAGAAGCACCGGCUAACUCCGUGCCAGCAGCCGCGGUAAUACGGAGGGUGCAAGCGUUAAUCGGAAUUACUGGGUGUAAAGCGCACGCAGGCGGUCUGUCAAGUCGGAUGUGAAAUCCCCGGGCUCAACCUGGGAACUGCAUCCGAAACUGGCAGGCUAGAGUCUUGUAGAGGGGGGUAGAAUUCCAGGUGUAGCGGUGAAAUGCGUAGAGAUCUGGUGGAAUACCGGUGGCGAAGGCGGCCCCCUGGACAAAGACUGACGCUCAGGUGCGAAAGCGUGGGGAGCAAACA